UAAAAUUCUCAGGGCGGGGCGAAAUUCCCCACCGGCGGUAUGUCAGUAAUGAUGAGCCCGCGAGCGCUCGAUUAUUGUCGAGGUCAGCAGAUCUGGUGAAAAACCAGAGCCGACGGUUAUAGUCCGGAUGAGAGAGAAUAGAG
rnacentral:ncRNA from 1 species